rnacentral:lncRNA from 1 species
AGACUGCUAGUGGGGACUUUAUUACAGGCAGGGCUGUGGUGGUGUGCUUUAGCACUGAAGCGAACCCUAGUGUAAGCACAGAGAGGCGCUGCUUUCUGCUCUCCUUCUAAGUUCAAGCGUAUACAUAUUUGCAGCCUUGGUAAGUUUUUUUUGACUGCUCUUUGGAUGAAUAUGUGAAAGGGUAUUACAGUGUGCUUUUGCCUGUAAGGGCUGGUGUAUUGUGUAAUAAUUUAAAAUUUGAGAGCAAAGUCAGGCUUUUAAUGGCAAGUCAAUUGCCUGUGCAGAAAUGAAAUGCUUGUUUGAAUGGGCAUAUUUUAGUUUAUAGCUUUGUUUCCAUAUGAUCUUGUUAUGCUUCUUCUUCUUAUAGAGUUUAAAGUCAUUUCGUCUCUCAUUUCUGUUAGCAUUUAAAACGAUUCUGUUGGCUUUCUAGUAUUUUGAGCCAUUCCGACUUGCCAGCAGCCCCAAGUAAAUGAAAAUAGAAUUUCCAGAACCAUUCUGGAGCAGAUUUGUGGAGAAGCUUUGGUGUAUCUCCUUCUGCCCGCCUCUUGCUCUGCCCUCCAUAUACUUUGGGAACGACUUUUUUUCAGCUUCCUAGCCCAGUUCCUUUUUUGUGUACUUUUCACAGAGGACUGGUUUGGAGUUUGUGGGUAGUAUCGUUAAUUGAUUCUCAUCUUCUGGGAAUGUGAAUCACAGAGUGAACAGUUUUCAGCUCAUUUUGAAUGUGGGGGCAUGCUUGAUGGCUGCUGAGAUAUGUUUUAUUGCUAUCUAAAAUCGUGUAGAUAGUGCUGUUCUUUUCUUCCCGUUCCCAUGUAGCCCUGUACCAGGUUCUUACAAUACCACAUGUUUAGAAUAUCAAGAAUCCCCCCUUUGAGAACAUGUUUACUUCUUUUCCUCUGUCACCCCGGACAUGCCUUUUAAGAAGUAGAUUAAACUCUGAAGUCAGCGCCUGUUUGCCUUCACGGUUUAGUUGCUGUAUAAUAUAUUUUGAUAGCCAGGGAUAAUUAAAAAACAGACAAACAAAACACCAUUAUAGAACAUUUUGUUCUGCUGUAUAUGAGUUGGAAUAUGAGUAGGCGCUUUCAAUUCUUGAAUGUCAAGGAUGUGCCGUUGAAUAGAGAAAAUGAGUGUGUAAGCUGCUUACGUUAUUGAACUUAGGUUACACAUUCUGCUCCUUUCCUUGCUGGAAGCUGUGGAGUUGAUCUUAUUUUUAUGGUACUGUAAUAGAAAUUGAAUUAAGGGGUUGACAUGGAACUUGCUUUUCAGCUACUCCUCUUAUUGUUUAUGUGAGCUUAGGCAAUGGUCUUGACCUAGCCUUAGAUCCUUUAUCUGUAAAAUGGGGAUUAAGUGGAUAGGAUAUCUUCCCUCAGUGGGAUUAAAUGAGUAAAGGAAAGUAAAACAUUCGGCAGAUAGUAAAACUUCUAUAAAUGUUAGCUGCUGUCAUUUUUAUAGAUUCCUCCAGCGCCUGUUUGUGUGUUACUUUGGUCCAAAAAUGAUUCCUUUCAAGUUCUAAAUAAGGAGGAAGUCUUGUAAGUUUGUAACAAUGUGUCCCGUGUAAUUGCUACAACCUCAUCUGUUAAAUAGUUCUUCAACUUCCACUUGAGACGUAGAAAGCAGGUGGAAACAAUGUGUGGAGCUUUUUCCAAUCUAGGCAGAGGUGUGCCCAAGGGUACACUCCUGUGUGCAGCAGGUAGCCAAAUGAAGUUAGGUAAGUACAUUAGGUAAGCACUGUCCCAUCUCUAGCGCUCCAGUUGCAUUCAGUUGUCUAGGGAGUUCUUCCUCAGCCUUCCUCUCCCCCUGCAGCCAACAGCUGUGCUGCUGAUCAGUUUUGCCAUAGGGUCAAUUUGCCUGUACUUGAACUUGGUGAAAGAGUCAUACAGUGGCUGCAUUUCUGAACGAGUCUUUAUCCCUGUGCAGUUUACCCAUGCUGUUGUGUGCAGUACUUAUUCAUGUGUUUCAAAUUGUUAUAGUCUUUUGUGUGUUUUGAAAUUUAUUUUAUUGGCACCUGGGGUAUAUGGUCACUGGC